rnacentral:lncRNA from 1 species
AUAACGGAUAAAGUAACUUUAUAUACAAACCAAGAGAUAAUCAAAAGUAUGAUAAAAGUAGCUAAAAUGUAAAGUUAUGUACAUACCAACUAGAAAAAAAUCAAAAAACAUAAAAAGAGUAUCUAAUAUAUACGAUCAUCCAAAUAGAUAAACAGUAGGGCGCAACCCCACGAAUAAGAGUUGGCAUUUUCCCUAAUACCAACUACCAAAAUAAGAACAAAAUAACAAAAUAAAGGAUAUAGAGGGCGCCCUAGGCCUGGUUCGUAUGCACGGGAUCCUCAGUGGUCACCUGACCCUCUAUAUGGGCGAGAACCUCAAACUGAUUUCCGACAUGCUGCUGCUCUGCUGCUGGGAUAGGGUCCUGCUCCUGAACCGGAUGAAUAUCGGGUGCAUCACUAGAGGAAGUCUCCUGAAUAUCUGCAUGCUCAAUCACAACACCCUGAGUACUAGCCAAAUUACUCUUCUUCCUCGAGGGCGUACCCCUGAUAAUAAUAUAUACAAAUUUUUCGAGGCAUUUCCCGAAUAAAAUUAACUAAGGGAACGGCCUCUCGCCUCGAAACUUAAAAAAAUAAAAAUCCUAAAGCUAUAGUACUGUCUCUUUUUACUUUCUAAUCAAGAUUUUUUAGUGAAUUACAUUGUAUAGUAGUGUGUGAAUCAAACGUUUUAAUUAGGUAACUUUAUAGUACAAAAUAAAAAUCAAGUAGAUAGUUAGGAUGCUAAUCAAUCCAAACCCAAUUACCAUUAAUUUCACUCACUGUUAUGUCUCACUUCAUAUUCUCAAUAAACAUUAGCCCCAAAGUUAUUAACCGAACAUAUCUACGUUGUUAACUAGCAAAUCCAUUUUGUUCUUAAUUAUGCAUCAAAUUCAAGCUAAACAAAACAAAUCAAAUUAAGAAAAAGUUUCAAGCAAACCACAAAACUAGCAGAAUAGUCCUACGACAAUCAUAUUAUCGAACAUUGAUAAAAAAACAGAUAGAAUUGUUUUUAAGUCAAAGUAAGGGAUGAACCUCACGGUGAUUGCCUUUUCAAUACAGUAACAGUGCCUGAAUAGGAACAGAGGCCAGAACUUGACCGGAAAACCUCAACUGAAAUCACACGAGACCGGAACCGUCAAGCCAAGAACGGAAACUUCGUUGUAAAGCUUGAACGACUACCUCGCCUUUUAAUUAGAAUCGAGCGCAACUCGAACACCUUAUAUAGCGUAACAAUGGAGGGGAGGAAAGUUCUCUGUGUAGAAGAUGAAAGUGGAAAGAGGAGCGGAGUCCGGCGACAGAGAGGCGACAACUAGUGGGAGGCUGGUUUCCGGCGGAUUUUGGAGGAGAUGAGGGCGGGCAGCGGCGGUUCAAGAGUUCUCCUAGGAUUUGUCUUGUGUCUUGAGGUUGAGGUCUUGGGCAGCUAGGGUUUUUUUUUGUUCAAGAAGAAGGAGGAGAGCCAGCCAUGGGUGGUCUCUAGGGUUUUGCUCACUCCUUUUCCUUUAUCCCUGUGUAAAAUAUAUGACCACAUGGGAUUGGAGGGGAAAGAAUAUGUGAGCUCAAAAAAAAAAAUCUUUUUUUCUAGAAACUACUACCA